rnacentral:rRNA from 1 species
UACAGAGGGUGCGGGCGUAAUCGGAAUUACUGGGCGUAAAGCGCGUGUAGGCGGCUCGGCAAGUCGGGUGUGAAAGCCCUGGGCUUAACCUAGGAAGUGCACUCGAAACUGCCAAGCUUGAGUUCUGGAGAGGAAGGCGGAAUUCUCGGUGUAGAGGUGAAAUUCGUAGAUAUCGAGAGGAACACCGGUGGCGAAGGCGGCCUUCUGGACAGCAACUGACGCUGAGACGCGAAAGCGUGGGGAGCAAACAGG